ACCUGGCUGACUCAGUGGGUGGGGCACAUGACUCUUGAUCUUGGGGUUGUGAGUUCAAGCCCCAUGUUGGGUA
rnacentral:tRNA from 1 species